GAGGGUAUAACUCAGCGGUAGAGUACAUGCUUAGCAUGCACGAGGUCCUUGCUUCAAUCCCCAUUACCUUCA
rnacentral:tRNA from 1 species